UGCAGAAAGUGAACUGGUGGUACAGCCUGC
rnacentral:piRNA from 1 species